GGACAGAAGGGAGCUUGCUCCCGGAUGUUAGCGGCGGACGGGUGAGUAACACGUGGGUAACCUGCCUGUAAGACUGGGAUAACUCCGGGAAACCGGAGCUAAUACCGGAUAGUUCCUUGAACCGCAUGGUUCAAGGAUGAAAGACGGUUUCGGCUGUCACUUACAGAUGGACCCGCGGCGCAUUAGCUAGUUGGUGGGGUAAUGGCUCACCAAGGCGACGAUGCGUAGCCGACCUGAGAGGGUGAUCGGCCACACUGGGACUGAGACACGGCCCAGACUCCUACGGGAGGCAGCAGUAGGGAAUCUUCCGCAAUGGACGAAAGUCUGACGGAGCAACGCCGCGUGAGUGAUGAAGGUUUUCGGAUCGUAAAGCUCUGUUGUUAGGGAAGAACAAGUGCGAGAGUAACUGCUCGCACCUUGACGGUACCUAACCAGAAAGCCACGGCUAACUACGUGCCAGCAGCGCGGUAAUACGUAGGUGGCAAGCGUUGUCCGGAAUUAUUGGGCGUAAAGGGCUCGCAGGCGGUUUCUUAAGUCUGAUGUGAAAGCCCCCGGCUCAACCGGGGAGGGUCAUUGGAAACUGGGAAACUUGAGUGCAGAAGAGGAGAGUGGAAUUCCACGUGUAGCGGUGAAAUGCGUAGAGAUGUGGAGGAACACCAGUGGCGAAGGCGACUCUCUGGUCUGUAACUGACGCUGAGGAGCGAAAGCGUGGGGAGCGAACAGGAUUAGAUACCCUGGUAGUCCACGCCGUAAACGAUGAGUGCUAAGUGUUAGGGGUUUCCGCCCCUUAGUGCUGCAGCUAACGCAUUAAGCACUCCGCCUGGGGAGUACGGUCGCAGACUGAAACUCAAGGAAUUGACGGGGGCCCGCACAAGCGGUGGAGCAUGUGUUUAAUUCGAAGCAACGCGAAGAACCUUACCAGGUCUUG
rnacentral:rRNA from 1 species